AGCCCAGCACGGACUCUUGAAAGUUUGAAAAGACCAGAGGUUGGCAGAGAUGAGCCAUUUCUUUUGACUGCUCUUGAAACUAAUCAAGAUUUCCUCCUUCCGGACGUUUCAUAUAAAUGGAAUCAUACACCAUGUGGUCUUUUAUGACUAGCUCCUUUUACUUGACAUAAUGUUUUCAAGAUUCAUCCAUGUUGUAGCAUAUUUCAUUCUUUUUUAUGGCCAAAUAAUAUCUCCUUGUAUGGAUAUACUACGUUUUGUUGAUCCAGUCAUCAGUUGAUGGACAUUAGGGUUGUGUCUACCUUUUGGCUAUUAUGAAUAAUGCUGCUAUGAACAUCUAUGUACAA